CAACUGGAAUCAGAGAAGAGUGAUGAAUAGGGCAGCUGAGAGUAAAAGCGGAAGCGGCGAUCAGAGCACAGACGCCAGAUUUCUGAAGGUGCUCCCACUGGCACUGACCAGUCUGAGUGCCGUGGUAGGAUGUGAGGGGGCUUCCGCGGACAGAGAGGCCAAGGCGUUGGCGGGUCCAUUCCUAUGGAUGUCGGUAACCAAAACCAGCCGAGUGGAAUCAAGCAUGUGCCCAGAACCAACAUCAUUGGGGUCAGAUGACCACAGGGAAGAAGGCUGAGGGCUGCUGCCUGCUCACCUGCACAUAGACGUCAAUCUGGGAGCGUGGGUGCAGCUGUGUAAGGAUGGCUGCCUCGAAGGUCUGACGCAGCUGCAGACCCAUCUCGCAGGACUUGCGGUCCCCGUGUGGCCGCCGCUUGCGUUCCCCCGUGCUGAAGGUUGCAGAACUGUACUGACAGUUUACCAGGGCCCGGUCAGGCAGGGCUCGUGCCCGGGAGCCUCGGAUCUGGGGUAGGGUGGGGGAGAACACAUGAGCCAGGCCCUUCCUCCCUCUACCUCCAACAUCCCAACAAGCAACCACUUUACCUGCAAAACACAGCCCGAGGGAGGGCUAUUGGGCCAGGCUCUAAGCUACCAUCGCCCCUGGAUCUCUCUCCUGACAGGCCUCCCUGUUUCCCCUCUUGACUCGUCCUCUCCCGACCCAUGCUUGCUUUGUAUGAGAAUCUGUUUACAUAUAUCAAGUCUGAUUCUACCUCCUCUACACAAUACAUAUACUGCUUACCUUAUAAAGGGUUCCCAUCACGCGUGAGAUUAAAAAUCUUGAAUCUUUUCCCUGUUUACAAAGGUCCUGAAUUCCUGCUUCCCUAGAAAUCCCUCAGUCUCAUUUGGAAUUACCCUCCCUUCCUUCCCCAUCACCAGCCUUUCUGCUCUGCAAGACUGCCAUGCUUCUACCUCUCUGGCCUUAAGUCUCCAUCGCUGGAGUGGUGAUAAACCCAAGCGGUUUUAUUAACACUCUCUGUCUUCACGGAGUUUAUGUUCCAGUGAGGAGACAAACAGUGAGAAAUAAGUUAAAUUGAUGUCUGAGGAUGCGGGUGCGGGAAACCAGAUAAGUGUGUGGAUGUAAAGGAGAGAACUUGACUUGAAAGGGUGGGUAAGGUGGUCGGGUGGGAUGGGGUGAGGUGUCACCCGGAGGUGACGUCGGAGUGGAGCUGAGAGGUGAGGGAGCGAGUGGGAGCGGCCCUGGCGGUUUUAGGAGUAACAAAGGGGAGUGGCGAGCGCUGGGGAAAGGCAGGGACCGUCUUGCAAGACACUGUUAGGACUUUGGCCGCGGUCCCACAAGGCGGCGGGCGCCAGCCUCACCCACGAGGCCUCUACUCAGCCUGGUAGCCCCUCACAGACGCAGUUGCCCCCGGAGGAAGCCCGGCUCGCGCGCGCCCACUCGCCUCGUGAGGCCCGUAGACCACCGCCAGUGCCUUGGUGUUGCCCUGUUCGAUGUAGGCCGAACCGUCGGCCUGCGCGAAUACACCCAUCCGCGCCUGGAUCUUGCGCAGCUCCCCAGCGCGCCGCCCGUCCACUCGGUAGCCCUGGUCCGAUAGGAGCUCCAGCCCAGCCAUGCUGCCCGGGCGCUAACCCCGCUUGAGCGCUCGGCAGAACUACAAUUCCCGGUAGAACUGACUCCCCACUUCCGAUUCCCGGGGACUACGGUUUCCGGGGCACCGACUCCAACUUCCGGUUCUGGAGCCCUGCGAUUCUCCCAGAGUUCCCGAGGGCACCAUAUCUCAUUUCCGGUCCUUGCGGAACUGCGGCUGUGGGGUGCGUGGAGGGAACCCCCCGAGGCCUUUUGGGAGUGUGCAACCCUGUGAACACUGCUGAGGCCCUGACCUGGAGGGAUCCUGAGCCUCCUGACUUCACAGUGAAUCUGGCCCUUGCCCCAGGCCCCCCGGGCAGCAUGGAUGCAUCUCAGCGGUGGCCCAUCCCAAGAGGGGUCAGCGGCCAGUUGGCAGAGUUACUGAUCUGUUGCAGGAACUCUGGGCUGUGACCAGUAGGCUCUUCCUUGGCCUUGUUGCUGUUGCAGUUAGUUCAUUAGUUCCGGGGCUUGUCGGAGCAGUUCUGUGGAGUAUGUUCCUCCACGGUGCGCAGCUUCCGACGUACUACUCAGCCCCCCGCCUCCCCCCACUCCCUCUUACAGUUAAGCCCGGCUGCUGAGAAGUCGCGUCUGAGUCAGCGGAGCGUUCAGCUACCGGCUGGGCAAAGGUUGUGCUUCAGCUCCCAAGUCAGUGGUGAGCUGUCCUUUGCUGGUGAAUCAGGGUGCACCUGGAGAACACUUUCAAGUCUGCCCCACAUACAGCCGGCAUAAUAGGCUGAAGAAUACCCGCAGAGAUAGCUGGGUCCUGAUUCCCGGAGACCAUAAAUGUCACCUUCUGUGGCCGAAGGAACUCUGCAGAUAUGAUUAAGCUAAGGGUUUUGAGAAGGAGCAUGUGUGUUGGAGUAUCCAGGGGGCCCCCAUGGAAACAUGACGGUCCUUUCAAGGUGGCAGCAAAGGGGUAUUUGGAUGCAGAAGAGCAGGAGAGGUGACCUUGGAAGCAGAGUUGUGGAGUGAGGCAGCCUCAAGCCAGGGAGUGCUGGCCACUGGACACAGCAAGGAACAAACUCUCCCCCGGACCCUCCGGAAGGAACUAUCUGUUAUUUUAGCCCAUAAGACUUAGUUUGGACUUCUGGCCUUUAGAGCUGGAAGAGAAUAAAUGUCUGCUGUUUUAAGCCUUCA